AGAAGUUCAGCCGUGUUAAGCCUUUCGCUGGUCUCAAAUGAAAUGCAGCCUUGUAUGAAGGAAGUGCUCGUUGAUGCUUCUUUGCACUCUUGUUUAUAUGGAGAAGAUUUGGCUGAUAGGCUCAAAUCAAUCAGAUUAGCUGCAGAUUAGUGGCCGAGUUAAAGUCAGGUGCAUCCGGAACAAGGCUUUUAUAGCAUACAAAUUUAAACUCGACCGUCCCACUUCGUUCCCGGAAGUUGCAAGGCUGAAGUGGGUGAAAGUCAUUGUACCCUCAAAAGAGGGAAUACAGGAAGGUUCGAGAGGAAAGGGGGUGGAGUUGUGUCCCCAGGAAAAAAUAAUCCGGAGGCAUCUAAUGAAGACUCGUUUACUGUUUUUUGGAGCGACAGUUUCUUCUAUGUUUUCCCCCCGUUUUGCUUGUUGCCACUUGUUUUACGAAAAAUCAAGGCUGAUUGAGCUACAGGGAUCGCAGUAAUCCCUUACGGGCACAGCCAGCAUUGACAAAUUACCUUCUUCUUUUGACAGGAGAGGUCACCCUUUGUGGAAAUCCCUUACCCUGGCUGCAGGGAUUUUGUCAGGCAAGCAUUCCAGAAGAUUUGCUGGAUAUUUUUCUAUCAUCUGUUCAGAGCGCUACCUUGAGGCAUUUAAUACCUGCAUGCAUUUAAACUUUGGUGGAGCUUCUACGAAAGGAGGGGAGUGGAGUGUUAUUACUUCUCACCUAGGCUGUAUUAGAUUUCCUUACUAUUCAUUUUAGACAA